rnacentral:rRNA from 1 species
GACAGAGGGGGCGAGCGUUGUCCGGAGUCACUGGGCGUAAAGCGCGCGCAGGCGGCAACCUUAGUGUCGUGUGAAAGCCCCCGGCUCAACUGGGGGAGGCCAUGGCAAACUGGGUCGCUCGAGCUGCGGAGAGGCCCCUCGAAUUGCCGGUGUAGCGGGGAAAUGCGUAGAGAUCGGCAGGAAGACCAAGGGGGAAGCCAGGGGGCUGGCCGCAGGCUGACGCUCAGGCGCGACAGCGUGGGGAGCAAACCGG